UUUUAUGGAGAGUUUGAUCCUGGCUCAGGAUGAACGCUGGCGGCGUGCCUAAUACAUGCAAGUCGAGCGAACAGAUGAGGAGCUUGCUCCUUUGACGUUAGCGGCGGACGGGUGAGUAACACGUGGGUAACCUACCUAUAAGACUGGAAUAACUCCGGGAAACCGGGGCUAAUGCCGGAUAACAUGUUGAACCGCAUGGUUCAACAGUGAAAGACGGUCUUGCUGUCACUUAUAGAUGGACCCGCGCCGUAUUAGCUAGUUGGUAAGGUAACGGCUUACCAAGGCGACGUAUACGUAGCCGACCUGAGAGGGUUGAUCGGCCGACACUGGAACUGAGACACGGUCCAGACUCCUACGGGA
rnacentral:rRNA from 1 species